UACGGAGGAUGCAAGCGUUAUCCUGAAUGAUUGGGCGUAAAGCGUCCGCAGGUGGCAAUGUAAGUCUGCUGUCAAAGCGUCUGGCUCAACCAGAUAAAGGCAGUGGAAACUACAUAGCUAGAGUAAGGUAGGGGUAGAGGGAAUUCCUGGUGUAGCGGUGAAAUGCGUAGAGAUCAGGAAGAACACCGGUGGCGAAAGCGCUCUGCUGGACCUUAACUGACACUGAGGGACGAAAGCUAGGGGAGCGAAUGGG
rnacentral:rRNA from 1 species